rnacentral:rRNA from 1 species
UACAGAGGUCCCAAGCGUUGUUCGGAUUCACUGGGCGUAAAGGGUGCGUAGGUGGUCGGGUAAGUCUGAUGUGAAAUCUUCGAGCUCAACUCGAAAAUGGCAUUGGAUACUAUUCGGCUGGAGGGUUGGAAGGGGGACUGGAAUUCUCGGUGUAGCAGUGAAAUGCGUAGAUAUCGAGAGGAACACCGGUGGCGAAGGCGAGUCCCUGGACAACUCCUGACACUGAGGCACGAAAGCUAGGGGAGCAAACGGG